rnacentral:rRNA from 1 species
GUGAGAUGUUGGGUUAAGUCCCGCAACGAGCGCCACCCUUAAGCUUAGUUGCCAUCAUUAAGUUGGGCACUCUAAGUUGACUGCCGGUGACAAACCGGAGGAAGGUGGGGAUGACGUCAAAUCAUCAUGCCCCUUAUGAUUUGGGCUACACACGUGCUACAAUGGACAAUACAAAGGGCAGCGAAACCGCGAGGUCAAGCAAAUCCCAUAAAGUUGUUCUCAGUUCGGAUUGUAGUCUGCAACUCGACUACAUGAAGCUGGAAUCGCUAGUAAUCGUAGAUCAGCAUGCUACGGUGAAUACGUUCCCGGGUCUUGUACACACCGCCCGUCACACCACGAGAGUUUGUAACACCCGAAGCCGGUGGAGUAACCUUUUAGGAGCUAGCCGUCGAAGGUGGGACAAAUGAUUGGGGUGAAGUCGUAACAAGGUAGCCGUAUCGGAAGGUGCGGCUGGAUCACCUCCUUUCUA